GCUUACGGCCAUACCACCUUAGGCACGCCCGAUCUCGUCUGAUCUUGGAAGCUAAGCAGGUUUGGGCCUGGUUAGUACUUGGAUGGGUGACCGCCUGGGAAUACCAGGUGCUGUAAGCA
ensembl:rRNA 5S_rRNA 5S ribosomal RNA